ensembl:lncRNA
CCCCUCUGUCAUAGUUAGAAGAAACACAUUACAGAGAAAGAAACAUUUUGAAAGGCUAGAAGCUCAUUGAUCAUGAAACAUGAUGGCGCAUGGAAUCAGUGAUGUAAAUUGUGAAAUUUCUGCAGACCAUACAAGAAACAUAGUGUCAGCAUCUGCAGCUGGUGAGGGCUUCAGGAAAACUACAAUCAUGGCGGAAGAAAAACUGGGAGCUGGAAUAUUACAAGGUGAGAACAAGAGCAAGAGAGAGAAAAGGGGAGGUCCCAGACUCUUCAUCAACCAGAUGUUGUGUGAACUAACUGAGCAAAAACUCACUUAUCAUCAAGGGGAUGGUGCUAAACCAUUCAUGAGGGAUCUGCCCUCAUGAUCCAACCACUCUUCACCAGGCCCCACAUCCAACAUUGAGAAUCACAUUUCAACAUGAGAUUUGAAGGGGACAAACAUCCACCCCAUAUUGCUUCCUCUUCGUUUCUCCUAAUCCAGCUUCUUUAUUAACCCAAGGAGAGAGGGAGUGCCUCUCCUAAUAUUGAAGGUGGAGAGAUGCCACAUCCAUUUUCCUAUUCUGCUGAUGUUCCUGUAGUCUAUUAUCUUAUGCUGGUAGACACCUGGGGAAAUCACAGAGAGAAGCAACUAUCACUCUUUUCAUGCUACAGGUGGCUACUUUCUCCUUUUUCUCUUUUUGGGCAUUCCUCCCCAGGGGGUCUCCCAGGAUUGCUUGUUGGCUUGUCCUUGUGUUGGGCCCAUGAGAUACUCACAGACUGUGGCUGAUGAUGGUGGGCAGGGCCUUUCUCACGACUGUGUGUACAUGUCACCCACACUCUGAUUUCCUUCAAGUCUCAUGGGGCUGAAUAUAUUUGAAAGGACUGCUGCCCUCCAACCAUAUCUGGAAAAUAUAUUUGCAAUCUUAUUUUUUCCCUGUCACACAUUCUCAAACAUCACAGGAUAAUGCCCUAGUAUUCUUCAAGUUUCUAGUUUGGCCAGAGGAGGAAAAGAGUAAAAAAAUUCCUCAUUGCUCUUUUCAUCUAGAUUUCUCUGUCUCUCCUCUUCUUACAUGCUCAAAC